AAACAGGAUUAGAUACCCUGGUUAGUCCACGCCGUAAACGAUGUUGACUUUGGAAGGCUGUUCCCCUGAGGAGUGGCUUCCGGAGCUAACGCGUUAAGUCGACCGCCUGGGGAGUACGGCCGCAAGGUUAAAACUCAAAUGAAUUGACGGGGGCCCGCACAAGCGGUGGAGCAUGUGGUUUAAAUUCGAUGCAACGCGAAGAACCUUACCUACUCUUGACAUCCACGGAAUUUGGCAGAGAUGCCUUAGUGCCUUCGGGAACCGUGAGACAGGUGCUGCAUGGCUGUCGUCAGCUCGUGUUGUGAAAUGUUGGGUUAAGUCCCGCAACGAGCGCAACCCUUAUCCUUUGUUGCCAGCGAUUCGGUCGGGAACUCAAAGGAGACUGCCGGUGAUAAACCGGAGGAAGGUGGGGAUGACGUCAAGUCAUCAUGGCCCUUACGAGUAGGGCUACACACGUGCUACAAUGGCGCAUACAAAGAGAAGCGACCUCGCGAGAGCAAGCGGACCUCAUAAAGUGCGUCGUAGUCCGGAUCGGAGUCUGUAACUCGACUCCGCGAAGUCGGAAUCGCUAGUAAUCGUGGAUCAGAAUGCCACCGGUGAUAUAGCGUU
rnacentral:rRNA from 1 species